GUGCUUGCUUUGGUGGCACAUAUACUAAAAUUGGAAUGAGAGAAGAUUAGCAUGGCCCCUAUGCAAGGAUGACACACAAAUUCAUGAAGCAUUCCAUAUUUUU
rnacentral:snRNA from 1 species